CCCCGACCCAACCCCAAGCAGCCCAAAGCCAUUCACUCCCAAAUCCUUCCUCGUCUCCCCAACCGGCCGCCGCCGAGCUCUCCUCUUCCCCAACCCCACCGGCGGGCGGCCUUCUCUCCUCCAUCCCCGCCGGCGACCUCCGACGACCUCCUCCAUCUACCUCGCCACCGGCGCCCCCUACCCUAUCCCUCUCUCCCCUUUUGAUGGACACCUCAGAUCCAAUCGUGCAGCUCAGGCCGCGGCUUGCGCACACCGGCAGAGGACGACCGCCGCCUCCUCCUUCCAUCCCCUACCCUAGCCUCCUCCACGGCGCCCGAAACCCUACCCCUCUCUUCCACCCAUGGAUGGAUGGGGCGUGAAAGAUGGCCACGGAUCUGUUCCGGCGACGACGGCGCCGGAUCCGCACCCACCUACGGCGGCAGCAGCAGCAGCAUCCCGAUGGAGGCCGGCCACGAACCAUAGCCGACCGCAGCAGGAUCCGCCCCCUGCUCUCGGUGGGGCGGGGCGGGAUUAGUGAUGGCCCUCGACGCCGGCGACACCUGCAGCAUCUCGCUCCCGUCAGGCUGCAGGACCUGUACUCUACGCCCAAGACAGGUGAAGCUCUACUUAUACCAGAAGAUUGAGAGGUCGUUGCUGCGAUGGUCCUUGACGAUGAUGAGCUAGGAGACUGCUGCAGCAUCCCUGACAGGCCUGUAGAACCUAGACGGCCAAGUUAUGCCUCCCCUCUUUCCUUCCCCUCCUGUCAUGUCCAUAGCUUACUUAUCAUGCUGUCCAGAUUAGAUAAAUUUCUACAAACGUUGCCCUCGGAUUCGAGCUCAUUGGUUCGUGAUUAGCCGGAAAAGUACAUUUGAGGAGAAUAAUAUCUGUAGCUUUAUUAUACUCUAAAGGACCCAGAGAGGCUCUUAAUGUUCACUAGCUUACUCGCUGGCUCAGGAAAAGAAGCAUAUACUUGAUAUGUCUGAUUUUUUUUGAAGGCUUUCUUUAAUUUUUGCAUAGUCUUUUGUUAUCAAGUAAAACAAUCAGGACAUACUCUCGUGUGUGCGUGUGUGUGUGUGUGUGUGUGAAGCACAACAAAGCAAAUCAGUCUUGCUCGUCAAGUGCAUGUCUCUUGCUUUUUUCUGUAGUCUCUAGUCAAGCAAAGUUUAAACAAACUCGUUAGCAAGUUAGAUGUUGGUCUGCUCAACUUAUUUAUGUUCUGCAUAUACGUGAUGGCUGCCUACUACAUCCUUGCUUAAAUUGGAAGAAAUACCACUGUUUAUUUAUGUUCUGCAUCCUUGCUUGGCGUUUCCUGAAUCCUGAUGCUUUCGGAUGAUACUGGAUCUUUAUUCCUGGUGCUGCUGUAUGUAUGUGUGUACGCAGGUCGCCGAUGGACCCCGGGAUGAAGGCGAUCAAGAGGCUGAUUGGGCUGCCUGGAGACACAUGAUAUCCGGAAGAUACCGGAUGGACACUGCUGGGUCGAAGAGGACAAUGGCAGCUUUGGUUGGAUCUCAAGAGCAUAUGGCAAUGAUGCAGAUAAAAAAGGCUUGGCUACUAUUGCCGGUGAGGUGAAGCAGUUGGCUCUAAGGGUAAAGGAUAAAAGUCUAAAACCAGAAGAUUAUGAGGUACGAACACCUGGAACAGGUUUGAGAUCUGGGUGCACAAGAGGGUCAUCGACCUUGUCAGCUUCCUUGAUGUUGCCAAGCAUAUCAUCAUGGAGAGGGUGAUGUGACCAGCAGCAACGUAGUCGUCAUGCAGGGAGCCAAGGACAUGUGGCUGUUGGUGAAGGGCCUGAUUAGGAUGCCUACCAAGUUGCUCAACACCACCACCAGGAAGUUUCCCUAUGGUGCAAGGAACAUUACCAAGUGUAGGUGUGUGUGAUGUCCUUGAUGCUUGGCUACUAUUGCCAAUGAGGUGAAGCAGUUGGAUCUAAGAGCAAGGGAACAAUCUAGAACCAGAGGAUUAUGAGUUUUGAGAUGCGGGUGCCCAAGAGGGUCAUUGACCUCAUCUGCUCCCUGAAUGUCGUCAAGCAUAUCACCAUCGAGAGGUUGAGGUGAUCGGCAGCGACCAGUUGUUGUCGUGAAGGGAGACAUGCAACUAUUGGUAAAGGUCCCCAUUAGGAUGCCUACCAAGUUGCUCAACACCACCACCAGCAAGGAAAAUUACCAAGUGUAUGUGUGUGUGUUGUCGUUGAUGCUUUGCUACUAUUGCCGAUGAGGUGAAGCAGUUGGCUCUACGAGCAAGGGAACAGUAUGUAACCAAGGGAUUAUGAGGAUUGGGCUCUUUGGCUUGGGUAAUUGUGUCAUCAAUGGAUUGGCAUGAUGCUAUGGGCAUCAUCACCCUGCUUGUUAUCAACCAGUACAGGCCACUUUCUUCCUCUGUCGUGCCACCGCAACCGGGCUGCUAGUUGUACAGAUCAUCGAGAGGUUGAGGUGAUCGGCAGUCACCAGUUGGUGUCGUGAAGGGAGCCAAGGACAUGCAGCUAUUGGUGAAGGUCCCAAUUAGGUGCCCACCAAGGCGCUCGACAACACCACCAGGAAGACCCUUGUGGUGUAAGGUUGUUCAUGUUGUCCCUAUGGCCCGCUGCUCCGCCAGCCUAAUGUCGCAUCAAGACGCAUUUGGACAUUGGGGUAGUGGCACGGAGUCCCAACUGCUGCUCCCGCCAUCUUGAGCCUGCAUGCUCUCGACGGAAGAACCACAACCGGCACUGUCAUGUGUUCCUCACUCCCGCCCAAGGAGGCUAACCUCUUCAAAGUCAUCGUCGCCCCAUCCAUAAGGCCUGCCUCAUCUCGUAGCACGACGCCUUUGGACAUGGGGGUAGUGGCACGGAGUCCUGACUACUACUUCCGUCGCCUUGAGCUUUGCUGCCCUCGACGCUGCCAUGGAUUGCUCGCUCUCACCAAGGAGGCCAACCUCUUCGAAGUCAUUGUUUUUGGAAAUAAACAUGGAAGGGGGAAUUGGUGCAGGUAGCAAAAGUACCAACUUAGCUGAAAAGCAUACAUGAUUUGAAGCCAAGCUUGCCACACAUUAAUGGGUGGCCAGGCGCUGUCUGCUGACUCUUGCAUCCUGCACGGACGCCUCAGGAGGGACACGUCCUGGGUGAUCCAUGGCAUAGGAUCUUGCCAUGGUCGGCUUCACAAAGGUUUUCUGACCCUGCAGAAGUGGCCGCUGAUGAGGCUAGUGGAUCCUGUAGAAUGCAGGCACAACACAACACACCGCUGCCUCCUCGCUGACCGUGGGCUAGGCCAGAUCUGGUCGACAUGGCCCAAGAACUAGAAGAUGUCGGUUGGGAGAAUAAAUGGACUCAUGCCAACAUUUGCUCCUGUACUACUGCCAGUGAGCCCGUGAUGUGCUGCUGCAUUGACUUUGCCAUGAUGCCAACCUCGCUUCGGGCUGGUAUGUGCUUUUUUCUCCCCUAUGAUCUUCUUCCUAUUCUGAUUUAUCUAUAGAUAGUGUGUGAUUGCUGAUUUGCAUAAUUGAUGAUGUUCAUUGAAUCCAUGACAACUCACUGUUCAUGCUACUACUUGUUCAUCCUGACAACAUAAGGAAACAUAGAUUGGGAAGCUAUGGAUUUUGUAACGCUGCCCUGAAUUGUUUUCGAAAACAUAAAAUGGAUAUCUGAUGAAGAUAUGGAUUUUGCUGCGUUGGGUUCAGUGCUAGUUCUAUCAGUUGCAUCUGUGUAUACAUGUAAACCAUUCACUAUAUUCUGCUUUGAAACUUUGUGAUGAUAGAAUUAAUACUUCAUAAUCUCUAUCCGAUCAUUGAUCUGCUGAUGUGAUAAAAUCCAAUGUAUAUGCUUACAAAGUGAAACCAACUAUACUCUGUACAAACCUUGCUUGUUACAGCCGAACACCAAGACUGUUGAUGGUAUCCCGUUCGCUAGCUGUUGUCUGUUGUUGCUGCUUAUUUCCAACAUGGCAAUGGUUAUUUAUAGGUGUCUCUGAUUAUUAUUACUUGAGAGUAAAUUGUCAUUUUUUCAACUGAAUCUUGGCUUAUUAUUUCUUGAGAGCAUAUUUGAAUAUUGUGUCAUAUUCUUUGUAUUGUGAUAUGUUGUGUUGAAUAGUAGAGGCCUGACUCGAUGCUUGGGUCCAGUUGUACCUCACUCAAUUCGACGAGCAAGAUUUACUUUCAUGUAGUUGGGUCAUAACCAAAGUAAUCGUUUAGGUAAAUGGUCAGAUUACUACCUAAGGCUGCAACUAACAACUGAGAAUUAAACUGUCUCCUUUAGCCAAAAUCCUGCAAGUUAUGUGAAGAUUACAAAGAUAUAAAAGCUAACCAUUAACCUAGCAAUGAGUUAUGUAGCAGCUGGCCUAUCUGUUGACAUCCGAGUUUUCAAUUUGAUUACCAAGGUUUAGAAAGCUAAAUUUAUUUUACUGUUCAACUACCUAGCCACAAUAGAAAACCUGGAUCAUCGCUAAAACCAACUGAAUUCAUCUAUGUUUCCUUUUCUUUCAUUUUCGCUGAUGAAAAGUGAUCUAGCUGUAACAGCCACGUAGGCCGAGACAAAAAUACGCUCAUGUAGACAGCUGAGGAGUUUAUCGUUUUACUCCUUAGAUGGAGGCACUCCAUGAGUUUUCGAGUUAGUACUCCAUUGGGUAAGCUGCGGGGUACCAAAUCAUACAAGCCAUUUGAUUGGGGCAAAUGAAGGUCUCAAAUUAAAUGGCAGGGUACUGUAAAGUGCUCUUGGAAUAUUCAGUUUUUUGCGAGUUCUUGGAUUAUUCAAUGGUUUUUUUAUUUUCCCCUCCUCCAAGUUUCUAUAAUAUGUAUUAAAAUAAAAUAUAACAGUUGUGGCAUCAACAUCAACAUAUUCUUCCCAAUGAAAUCCUGAGUCCAAUUUGCAUAGGUAUUGGUACCCAUAUUAGUAUCGGUACCAGUAAACUUGCACUAGGAGAACAUAUUAAAGAAACCAAAAAAAGUUAUGCCGGAGAGCUUAGCAGCAAUGGUCUGUAGUGAUAACAUGGUUCUGAAUCAGUUUUCCCAACGACACUCUUUUCAAAAACCGAGACAAAUCCCUUGAAAAGGCUAUUCAUGACAUAUCCUUUCAGCUAGCACAACUAUCUUUAGAUGGCUAACAUUAGCUACAAAGACCAUGAUACAUGUGAAAGGAAGCUUAUUGUGUUGUGGAGACGAGGACGGGCAUGCGAGUAGUGAAGGGAACGAAAUAUAGUCCAACUUAAUUGAAGCCCAAUUCAGGUGCCCACGUAAGCAUGGGAAGAGAAAGGUUUUCAGGGUCAAGGUAGAGGCAUAGUUAUCCACGACAAGGGACAUGGGACAUGGUGCUGCCCAUGAUGGUGGGUGUUUACGGUGGCUAUAGGGUAUAUUUAUGACGGUGUCUGAAGCGAAGUGCUCCUUCCUAAGCUUGAUGAAGGCGUUGUGGGAUGUUGAUCCAAAUUCAACAAAGGCACAUGUUGCAACCAAGAUUUAUAUUGUAGUGACUGAAGCAUGAUGUGCAGCGAUAUACUGUUGAAUGAUGAUGGAUGGCUCGGUUGUAACUUAGUGAAAUAAAAAAAACUCCCGAUGCAUUAUGCUGCCGAAAUUUCUAACGAAAAUGGUUGGUCUGACUGGGUACAGGUUACACAGUAGAGAAUAAAUACAACUACAUCAGCGGGAGUUAGCGGUAAUAAGUGCGGAGAGCGAAUGUCCAUGAUUAGCGAACUUUUGUUGCACAGUUCUGUAGCUACACGAUGUUGUGUUGAGCGGUUUUUGAGCCUAUUUUUUCCUAAAACACGGCUACUGCAAAAGUUGAAUUAUAUUCAUGAAUCUGAAUAUAGCACACCUGUUGACUAAGCCUCUUCCACGAGCAAAACAUGAUCAACACCAAGACUUCAUGGGUGUUAGAUCAUUACAAUGUAAUCUAUAUUAUUGACUCUGGUGCAACUGGAGAC